UCCUGGUAACCUCCAACAUGGCGGCGAGGGGCCAUGUGCAAGACCCUAACGACCGGAGACUCAGACCGAUAUACGAUUAUCUCGACAAUGGCCAGAACAAGUUGGCUAUCCAGCAGGCCGACAAGUUACUCAAGAAGCACAAGGACCUGCACUGUGCAAAGGUCCUCAAGGCCAUUGGUCUGCAGAGAACAGGCAGGCAGGAAGAAGCGUUCUCAUUGGCUCAGGAGGUUACUGUCCUCGAGCCCACGGAUGACAACUCUCUACAAGCCCUCACCAUACUGUACCGAGAAAUGCAUCGACCGGAGCUAGUAACUAAGCUGUAUGAGGCCGCGGUGCGGAAGGUGCCCAGUAGUGAGGAGUACCACUCUCACCUCUUCAUGGCCUACGCACGCGUCGGGGACUACAAGAAGAUGCAGCAGGCUGGGAUGGCUCUUUACAAGAUUGUGCCCAAGAACCCCUACUAUUUCUGGUCUGUGAUGAGCUUACUAAUGCAGGCCAUCUCUGCCCAGGAUGAGAAGCUGGCCCAGACCAUGUUCCUGCCCCUGGCCGAGAGGAUGGUGGAGAAGAUGGUCAAGGAGGACAAGAUCGAGGCUGAGGCUGAGGUCCAGCUGUACUUCAUGAUCCUGGAGCGUCUGGGGAAGUGUGUGGAGGCUCUGGAGGUGCUGCGAGGCCCACUAGGAGAGAAGCUGACAAGUGAGCUGCAGUGUCGAGAGACGAAGUGUAUGGUGCUCUACAAGCGUCUGGAGAGCUGGCCCGAGUGCAAUGCCCUCUCGCUAAAGCUGCUGCUCAAAAACCCUGACGAUUGGCAGUUCUAUCUCUCCUACUUUGAAUCGCUCUUCCACCUGAUAGACCAGAGCUGGACGCCCCCAUCGGAAGGAGAGCACUGUGCGGAGGGUGAGGUGCACACGGCGGUGUCGCAGGCGGUGUGUUUUGUGGAGGAGCGUGUACGCGCGGAGGAGGAGAAGGAGACGAGGCCCCUGAGGGGACCUUACCUGUCCCGCCUAGAACUCAUACGCCACCUCCGGAAGAGGGGGCUAUCGGAAGAGGCCACACAGCUAGGGGACCCCCUCGAGCUGAUGGUGCAGUACUUUGGCAAGUUUGGAGACAAGCCCUGCUGCAUCACCGACCUGAAGAUCUUCCUGGACCUGCUGCCGCCCGACCAACACGUACAGUUCACCAACCGGCUGAUGGAGGGCGUACCUCUGAACUCGGAGGAGGUGGGCGGGGAUACCCCUGCGGGGUUGCCUAGCGACACACGUGCUCUGCAGCGCCACCUGUGUGUGACGCAGCUGACGCGCAGCCUGGGCCUCCACCACGCCCUCGAGCCGGCCGGCAAGCUGCAGCUCAUCACGCAGCUCAAAGCCCACUACCAACACGGCCUGCAGUUCGGCAAGUCGUGUUUGAAGACGGAGCUGCAGUUCUCAGAUAUGUACUGCCUCAUGGCUGCACACGUCUAUGUAGACCUGUGGAUGGAGUCAGGAGAUGAGACGAUGCUGUGGCGCAGCAUCUGUGUGCUGGAGGAGGGCCUGACCCACAGCCCUUCCAACGCCCAGUUCAAGCUGCUGCUGCUGCUGCUCUUCUGCCGCCUGGGGGCCUUCGAACCCGUGGUGGACCUCUACACCAGUCUGGACGCCAAGCACGUGCAGCACGACACCAUAGGGUACCUCCUGACGCGCUAUGCAGAGGCGCUGGGACAGUUUGCUGCCGCCUCCCAGUCCUGUAACUUCUCUCUCAGGUUUUUCCACUCGAACCAGAAAGAUACCUCAGAGUACAUCAUCCAGGCGUACAAGUACGGCGCGUUUGAGAAGAUCCCAGAGUUCAUAGCGUUCCGCACGCGCCUGAACCACUCGCUGCACUUCGCUCAGGUGCGCACGGAGCGCAUGCUGCUCGACCUCUUCCUGGAGGCGGACCUCUCGUCAUCUCUAGAGGAGAGCGUGAAGGCCAUGUCGCUGACUCCCGAGGAGGAUGACAUCCCCUGGGACUGCCUGAGGGACAACAGGGACCUCACCGUCAUGGUCAGCUGGGACCCCCCAGACCGGCAUCUGACAGAUGCACACAGGAAACAGUCAGUAGAGGAGGAGACGACGUGGUUGAGGGUGCGCUCCCUAACGCUGCGUCUGAUUGGCUCCCUGGCACUGCUAAGCCCCACCCCGCCACCACAGAACUCGGAGAAGACCAAUGAGAACGGAGUGGCCUCCAAGCACGCCCCCUUCCACAAGCUCCUCCCCCAGCUAGAGACUGCCCUUCAGGAAGCAGAAAACUUCACGCAAACACAUACGAAGUCGUACCCAGUGCUAGGUCCGCCUGCUACGCGGAUGGGCGUGGCUCUACAGACGGGCGCCUGCUCCUGCCAGCUCUCCGCCCUCAGACUCGUAGCCUCGCUGCUCGACAUGGACAACGCCGGGCUAGACGAGUCGGCAGAGGCGCAGGCAGAAGUGGCCAGUAGUUUCAAAGCCCUGCUGCAGCAGAUACAGGGCGUUUUGUCCAAAUGUAAAGGGGAGCUGGUGGAGAUGAGGGAAGGCACGUGCAAUACUCACGCCAGCCUCCUGGAGGCGCUGGUGCUCUUCAUAGAGACGGUGUGUGUGGUGCUGUGGGUGGUGACGUUCUGUGCGUCGCUGCUGCGGCCCCUGAAGAGCCAGAAGAAGAAGAAGAAGAAGAAGGAGACCAGCACCAGCGCGGCCACGCCGCUGGUGGUGUGUAGCUUCCAGGAGCUGGUGGCAGUAUUUAUGUAUUUAUUUAUUAGUGUGUGUGUGUUUGUGUGUGUGUGUGUGUGUGUGUGUAGCCGCUGGUGGUGUGUAGCUUCCAGGAGCUGGUUGCAGGUCUCCAGGCGGUGAUGUCUGAGGGGCUCGACCACAUCAAGGAGCAGGAGACCAACAUCACCGCCCUCAACAUGGAGAGCCUGUCGCUACACAACCAACAGGAGGAGGGUGUGUCUCUGAAGACGGUGUUUGGGAAGGUGCAGAAUGUGUGUGUGUGUGUGUGUGUGCACAGGAGGAGGGGAUUGUCCCCUCUUCUGGUUUUGAUAUCGCCACUUUUUAUACAUGAUUAUAAUCACAGUUAUAUGUAAUUCCAUUGAUAUUGCUUGAAAUCUGAAACAUAUCCCCCCUUCUGGUUUUCCGACAAA